rnacentral:lncRNA from 10 species
CUGGGAUUACAGAUGUGAGACACCACGUCUGGCCUUUUUUAAAGUUUUAUUUUAAGUUCAAGGGUACAUGUGCAGGAUUGUUAUAUAGGUAAAUUAUGUGUCACAGGGGUUUGAUGUACAGAUUAUUUCACUACCCAGUUAAUAAGCAUAGUACCUGAUAGACAGUUUCUCAAUCCUCACCCUCCUUCCUCUUUCAACCCUCAAGCAGGCCCUGGUGUCUUUUCCCUUCUUUGUGUCCAUAUGUACUCAACUUUCAGCUUCCACUUUUAAGACAACAUGCAGUAUUUGAUUUUCUAUUACUGUGUUAGUUCACUUAGGAUAAUGGCAUCCAGCUCCAUCCAUGUUCCUGCAAAGGAUACAAUCUCAUUCUUUUUUAUGGCUGCAUAGUACUCCAUGGUGAAUGUGUACCAUAUUUUCUUUAUCUAGUCUACUGGUGAUGAACAUUUAGGUUGAUUCCUUGUUUUUGCUAUUGUGAAUAGUGCUGCAAUGAACAUACACGUGCAUGGGUCUUGAUGGUAGAACAAUUUAUAUCCCUUUGGGUAUAUAGCCAAUGAUAGUAUUGCUGGGUCAAAUGGUAGUUCUGCUUUGAGAUCUUUGAGAAAUGGUCAAAUUGCUUUCCACAAUGGCUGAACUAAUUUUCAUACUCACCAGUAGUGUAUAAGUAUUCUCUUUUCUUUGCAACCCUGCCAGCAUCUACUUUCUGACUUUUAAAUAACAGCCAUUCUGACUGGUGGGAAAUGGUAUAUCAUUUUUUAAAAAAAAUUUAUUUUAGAGACAGGGUUUCAUUCUGCUGCCCAGGCAAGAGUGCAGUGACAUGAUCAUAGAUCACUACAGCCUCAAACUCCUGUGCUCACGGAAGUCCUAUAUUUCUGAAUUUGUAUACUGGUUCUGUUGAUCACUAGCUGCAUAAAGUUCAAAUAUAGAUUUAGGCAGCCAAGAUGGCCGAAUAGCAGUAGCUCCACUCUGCGGCUCCCACCGAGAAGGAAGGAAACAACGGGUGAACUCUGAAUCUUCAACUGAGAUCCUUGCAACGUGUGGAUCGGUAGGUCCCUUCCUGAGCCCACGCUACCGGAGCCUUGGGUCGCAAGCACAAAGCUGUGGAGAAUCACAGCGGCUACUCAGGUGGGGAGCCACUUUAAGCAGGCACUGAGGCGCAGGAGUAUUUGCGUACUCUGGCUCUGGGAACUCUCAUGAGGCAGGAGAUCUGUCUACUCUCGUGGGGAGGGGGCUGAGCCAGCGAUCCAAGCGGCCACGCUCCCAGGGAACUCCACAAGCUAAAACCCACUGGCUUGGAAUCCCCGCUGCCAGUGCACUCAGCUAGAAACUGCCUAAGAAGACCGAGUUCCUGCUUCCUGCGGGGGAGGGGCGGCGAUCACCAAUAUGGCUCCAGUCUCCAGUCAGCUGCUUUCCCUGCCCGCAGUGCCAGCGAGAUGGGGCGGUCCAGAGCUAGAGAGUCCGCCCCAGCCGCAGCCCCGGCCCCAGCCCCGGCCCCAGCC